CCCUAAAAGCUUAAUUUUAUUUAUUUAUUUAAUAUAUGUUUAAAUAUUUUAUUUGUUUAUUAGAUUUUAGCUGGGGUAGCUACUUUAAUAAAUUUAAGGUUAAUAUAACAAUUAAUUACUGGUGAAGGUCCUUGAUAUCAGGAUAUAUAGUAUUAGUUACUUUAGGGAUAACAGCGUAAUAAUCUCAAGGAGACCAUAUCUAUGGGAUUGAUUGCGACCUCGAUGUUGAAUUAAAAGAUCUAUGUGGAGUAGAAA
rnacentral:rRNA from 1 species